ACCUGUGUUUAUACUUGAUUUGAAAUCAUUUUAGUUGUUUUUAUUGACAAAACAGGUU
rnacentral:tRNA from 1 species